ensembl:lncRNA
CACAACUGCGAAUGUUGCCCUAAUUAUUACACCAAAUUACGACAUCAACCUGCACAAUCAAACCAAAUCAACAGGAAGUUUCAGCCCAUGCUCACCCUUCCGCUUAUGAAACACCAGAUGAGGGGAAAGGAUGAGAAUCAUCCUUUAAGAACCGGGUGGAUCUGCAGGACAGACAGAUGAAGGAUGGAGACGUGUCUUUGGUUCAGAAGAAUGUGAGUUUUGGUGUUGAUGGAACAUGCAAGUGUCGUGUGAUCAUGAGAAGAACAUACUGGAUUAAAUACAUCAUCAACCUGGUUGUUGUUCCUCCAGGUGAGAUUUAACCGCUACAAACCAAACCGUUAUCUCUGAGAUGGAGAAGAGUGAGGAGGAUCGGCCUGGAUCACACGUUAGAAGUAUUUCACCAAGACUGAUAACUGCAUCAGUGUAAAAGUUCUUUAAAAAGAAAGGAACCAAAGAUCUGUGGAGUCUUUGCGCUUAUAUGAAAAACCCUGUAAGGACUUCACCAAACACUGCAGUAUAAAUGUAUUCAUAGCACAGCUCCUUCUAUAAUAACAAAGUGACACUCAGCUCUGUGCUAAUCCUCGGAGCUCAGAGUCCCACUGACAGUAACUGUAACCUCCAUCCCUCUGCUGUCAAACAUGAGCUUUAGACGUCUGAGCAAUUUAUAAGAACAAUGAGAAAAAACAACAGAACACAUUUAACAGAACACCAAACAUAUGUAGGAGAGCUGAUGUGAUCUAAAAGUUAACUCCUGUUUUCAUCUUUAGCCUGUGAUUGAAGCUGUGAGUGUUUUAUUGGUGUAACCCAGACAUACUUUUCAGGUCACAUUUGACAGCAGGAAAAUCCCCCACAUGUUAUUAUUUGAGCCUGAAAUUUAAUGAGUUUUCCUAAAAUUACUCACAAAAAUCAAAAUCUUAUUGUAAAGAACACACAGCAGACACAUCCACAUAUUCCUGCAUACUUUGCUGUUAUUCACCAGUUGCAUGCUAUGGCUUUCCAGUCGCUGGCCCAAGAUACACAACAACAACACCAUCUCAGGACCCAGUACGGUGAGGCAUGAUUGCAGAUUCCGCACCAUUGCAUCUAUCUCGCCGCAGCCACAACCCGCGACAGUCACAUUUGAAUACUGUUUUUAUGAUGUACGGGUGCUGCAGAUAUUUCUGACCUAUUGAGGUCGAUUUUGUCUCCACAAGCGUGCAUUAAGUCAGGG